rnacentral:lncRNA from 1 species
UUAUGGAUUUUAUGAAAAUUUUAUAAACUUGAACCACAGUUCCUGAUGCAAUAAUACGAAAUCUCAAAGAGCAACUUGCAACAGUUUUUGCCAAUUACUCGUGGGCGUGCGUCAGACGAAGUCUUAAUCAGAGCGGCCUAGAUAGGAAGAAAAAACGAAAGUAAUCAGCAAUGCAAUUGUGAUUCUGUAAUAAUGAUAAUAUGUGAAAAAUUUCUUUUAUACA